GGAAUGACAUGGGAGCAGAUGAAGAAAGCUGAGGAUCCCAUGUCAUUCCAGUAUCCUCAGCUUUCUUCAUCUGCUCCCAUGUCAUUCCA
rnacentral:pre_miRNA from 1 species